ensembl:lncRNA
GACAGUUUGUAUUCAGAAGUUUAAGAGUAAAGUAUUUUAAGUAACGAUUUUUUAUUAUUUAUUUUGUAUUAAUAAAUCACCUCACUGUAUUCAUUUAUAAUGUAACAUUAUAGCGUGACAUUUGUGUCAAUAAUCUUCAAGCACAGGUGACUCCGCAUGGUGGGAGGGGGGCCCACAAAUCAAAUUCUGCUUAGGGCCCCCAAGAGGCUUGGGCUGGCACUGUCACCAUCAGAUCAAUCAGUGUAUGACAUCAAAGUACCGCAAGAGCUUUAGAGAGCAGACAGCUCCUAAUGCUUUUUUAUGUCAUACACCGGUCGAUCAGUGCAGCGUCGCUUCAAAUCCAUCAAGCCUUAUGGUUCGCCCAAUUCGUUCAAAACAUGCAUUAAGAAAUGAAAUCUUUGACAAAAUUGAGUAAAACAGACAACAUUGUGACUAAAAUAACACAAUAUUAACUUCUUACUUACUGAACUGUUGUAUAAGAUACAGUAUUACAUUUGCACUCAUGUGAUAUUGCUUAAAAAUAUGAAGUAAAUAUGAGACAAAAACUCAAACGGGCGUUUUUGCCCCAUAUCUUGAUUUUUUUUAGGGACAUUCUAACUACGUUCUCUAGGCUCCAUCACGCAGUAAGUUGUUGCUCUGCCUCACAUUUGUCAUCAAUCGACUGUAUGAAAUGUCAUAUGACCCACAUAGGUCUGGGGCAGGGCAAGUGCGUUAAAUGCGUUAAUAAUUUUAACAUGUUAUUUUUCAGCGUGAUUAAUUAAUCUAAUUAACGCAUUAAAUUACCAGCCCUAAUAUACAUAUAUUAGGGACGGGACCGUUCGCUGAAAAAAAUCGAACCGUUCGGUUCUCCACACGGUUCGGCAAGCGCUGGGACAGUUCAACUUAAUUCUGACAAAACAUCUGUAAUAUGGCUUGCUAUAAAUAAGACAUAAAACAAACAGGGUUCAGCUGUUUCUGUAUGUAUGCACAUUCUGGCUUCCUAGACAUUACAAAAAAAACAGUGGACAAACCAUUCACUCUUGUUCAAUGUGAAUGCCGUAUGCUGGAAUAUGAGCAGUCAUUUAUUCCGUCAUCACCCGGGUGGUUAUAGCAUGCGCGCACAGUUGAGACCUGAACAGCACAGGUUGAUAUCUGUGUUUAAACUAAACUCACUUAAGCUUUGCCAGUUUAACCCACGCCUUCAGAACGCGUUCAAAUAUUAAGCUCUCUCAGAAAUAUUGUGUUUAAAUGGACAAAACCACACAUUAUUUAUGUCAAAAUGCCCGUCUUGGUAAGUAUCCUACAGCAGACAUAGCCGGCUGAACGUAGGCCUACGGUAUCUGUGCACUGGAUCACUGCAUUCUCUUAAAGUGACAGUCUUUAGCUGUGUCCCAAAGUUUAGUGUACACACUUUGAAAGCCACGGACUUCAAAGACCAGGCCUCUGAAGUGCAUGAAGGACGCUCCGCCUUUGCAGGAUUUCCUAAAUGCAACACCAGAGGUUCCCGAUUAGCACUCUGUCGCAUAGCAACGCAGAGGAGAGCUGACGAGUGACGAGAGGACAAUCCUGCCAGGAUAGGUGGAGCCAGAACUGCUCGUUUUUGUUUUUAUGUUUUACGUCAUAAUGGAGGAGAGGGUGAUGUACCUCAGGCUUAGCCAAGACUGAGGCCAGGUAAAUUACACUGGUUUGGUGCAUCCUUUGUCGGAUUACAACUUUAAAUGCAGGUAUUGGCUUGGAGCUUACUUGAAUAAUGUAAUGAUAGCCUACAUAUGAAAAACUACAAAAUACACACACAGCAGGUCAAAUGCUGACUGAUAUCUUACAAAGGUGUGACUUUAUAUAGUUUAUUGUCUUGACCAUGGUGAUCAUAUGUAGGCAUUUUUAGGCUCUUAAGCAUAAAAAUAAAACUUGAGAAAAAAAAGAUUAUAGCACAGCUUAGUAUUCAGUGGCAGCUGUUUGACUGGUCGGAGUUCUUUAGAUGCAGCCUUUGAUAGCCUAUAGUCAGCAACAAUGGGUUAAUAUUCUGACAAAAUGUUGAUUCUUACAUUUUCAAAAUAAUCAGAGAUGGACUGUAAGAAAGUACAUUCGUUAAGUACAAAUAUGAAGUACUAAGUUUUCUUUUUUUUCUCACAGACAGCAGCACUACAAAAAUAUGUUUUUUUUUACAUCAUGACGCAUUGUUGCAGAUUAAACUACCCAACAGUAUAUUUAGUAGGCAACUUUAAAUUUAAUAACCUUGAACAUAUUCAGAAGUAAAAUGCAACAUACAUAGUAGUGAAGAAGUAAUAUUAAUGCAAAACCAUCCUCCUGACGAAUUCUUUUUUCAGAACAAUACUGUAUACUUUUACU